UAAGUUCCCCCUUAGUCUCUUCUCCCAAGAACAAACCCACCCAACUCUUCCGUAAUAGACUAAGAGCUACUUAAAGGGGGUACAGCCCCUUUAACACAGGACACAACCUCCACCAGCGGAUAACCCCACCCCAUACCACACCCCGUAGGCCCUAAAGCAGCCACCCAUAAAGAGUGCGUCAAAGCUCAAACACAAAAAAAAUCCAAAAACAACACGACUCCCUACACCCCAACAGGCUAACCUAUCACUAUAGAUGAAUCAAUGCUAGAACGAGUAACCAGGAUAUCACAUCCCCUUAAGCGCCAGCCUACACACAAUUAACAGCACAGACCACAAUGCCUAACAUACACCCCCCCCAUUGAACACACCCUGUUAACCCAACCCAGGGGCGCACAACUAGGACGAUCCAAAUCUGCAAAAGGAACUCGGCAAACCCAAGGCCCGACUGUUUACCAAAAACAUAGCCUUCAGCCAAACAAGUAUUGAAGGUGAUGCCUGCCCAGUGACACUCAGUUCAACGGCCGCGGUAUCCUAACCGUGCAAAGGUAGCGCAAUCAAUUGUCCCAUAAAUCGAGACUUGUAUGAAUGGCUAAACGAGGCCUUAACUGUCUCCUGCAGACAAUCAGUGAAACUGAUCUCCCCGUGCAAAAGCGAGGAUAUAUACACAAGACGAGAAGACCCUGUGGAACUUUAAAAUCAAUAGCCACCACAUAUCCUACCCCAAGCCUACUGGCUCAUAACCAAAAACACU
rnacentral:rRNA from 1 species